GUCAAAAAGUUUCAAGGGUAUCGACGUUUGAUUUCUUCAGUUCAACUUAAUUCUGACGGAUGUUAUGACCUAAGACCAACUUCAAUUAACAAACUAUGUGUACCAAAGAAAAGGUUCCUAAUGUAAUCCCGUGAUGACGAAUAAAAACGUUAAUUUGCUCAAACUGUGGAUCCUCUAAUGCAGUGGCAUAUGAAAUCCAAGCUAGUUAAAACAAAAUUGUAUAUAUUACGCCCUAUUAUAACGCUGCCUCCCUGGUGUUAGAGUCGGACACCAGAGAUAACAGGUUACAAUUAAAAGGGAUUGCUUUAACUGGUAUGAUUAUAAUACUAUAAAAUGUACGGCUCCGACGUCUAAUUGGAAUACCGUCGAACCAACACACUUUACAGCUUCGUUAACCUAGACUUCAGAGGUCUAUCAAAUGUUAUAUAAUUAUUAUUUAUAAAUAAAGAC
rnacentral:lncRNA from 1 species